rnacentral:lncRNA from 1 species
UCGGUCUAGUACAAAGCAGUUAUAUACCAUUAAUUUGUUCUCAUGCUGAACAUGCUUUGACUUUGUCGCUUGACUUUAAACAGUUAAUCAUCAUCAUCGUCAUCAUACAAUGUAGAUGAGUACCCAAUAUCUUGUGUUCCUAUUUUUUAUUAUGUAACCCGAAUAGUCCAGUCGUCAUAUUCCGCGCACUGCAAUAACUCCCUUAAGGAAAAACAAUAGUGGAUAGAGGGCGCUGAAUUGAAAAUAAUUCGAAUUAUAUCACAAUGUAUAUGACAUGUACUUCUAGUUUCAUCUAUUUUUCUGGUGAUUAUAUAUACUAGCUAAUAUUACUGACAAUAACCUAUCAAUCUCAGAAAAUCAGUGACGCGACGGGUGUUUCAAUCCAAAUAGAAACUGCUUGCCUUUUGGAGUAUCUGAAAUUCGUCCCAGUUUUGUUAAUGCAUGCUGUUAAAUCUUUAGUUUUCUGCUUUAUUUAC